rnacentral:antisense_RNA from 1 species
UUGUUUAUUUCAAUAGAGUUUUCCUUUCAAUCAAGAAUAUAUGAUGUUAUUCCUUCUAGGGAGCUGAGUUAAAUGCACACAGCUUCUAAACUAGUUGUGACCUCUGCAAUUUUCAAAGGAUUAAUAGAAAAAUAAUAAAAAUAAGAGUAUUAGUAUUGGAGUAGUAACACAAUAAUGAUGUUAAUGAAUAUUGCGAAUAAAUGCAUGUUAUUAUUAUUAUCAUAGUAUCAAGAUGUUAAGAAAAGUUAGUAAUCCCUGAAUGAUGACAUUUAUCUUCAUUAAUAUCAUUAUGAAUUAAUAAACAAUAUUGUAUUUCUUUUUGUUUCCGUUUUUCUUUAUCUCUCUAUUAAAUCCUUUACUUCCUGUUU